rnacentral:tRNA from 1 species
GGCUCAAUAUUUAGAACACUGGUCUGCAGAGCAGGUGGUCACAGGUUUGGUUCCCUG